GAUGAACGCUGGCGGCGUGCUUAACACAUGCAAGUCGAACGGGGAACAUUUUAAAGAAGCUUCGGCAGAUUUAGUUUGUUCCUAGUGGCGGACGGGUGAGUAACGCGUGGGUAACCUGCCUCACACUGGGGGAUAACAGUCAGAAAUGACUGCUAAUACCGCAUAAGCGCACAGAGCUGCAUGGCUCAGUGUGAAAAACUCCGGUGGUGUGAGAUGGACCCGCGUUGGAUUAGCCAGUUGGCAGGGUAACGGCCUACCAAAGCGACGAUCCAUAGCCGGCCUGAGAGGGUGGACGGCCACAUUGGGACUGAGACACGGCCCAGACUCCUACGGGAGGCAGCAGUGGGGAAUAUUGCACAAUGGGGGAAACCCUGAUGCAGCGACGCCGCGUGAAGGAAGAAGUAUCUCGGUAUGUAAACUUCUAUCAGCAGGGAAGAAAAUGACGGUACCKACUAAGAGUCCGWWYUYG
rnacentral:rRNA from 1 species